rnacentral:rRNA from 1 species
UCUGUCAGGACGAACGCUGGCGGUAUGCUUAACACAUGCAAGUCGAACGAGACAAAAGAGAAGUGCUUGCACGGAUCUUUUAGAAAGUGGCGAACGGGUGAGUAACGCGUGGGUAACCUACCCUAUGGAAAGGAAUAGCCUCGGGAAACUGGGAGUAAUGCCUUAUAAGAUAUAUUUGUCGCAUGGCAGAUGUAUUAAACGCUCCGGUGCCAUAGGAUGGACCCGCGUCCCAUUAGCUAGUUGGUGAGAUAACAGCUCACCAAGGCGACGAUGGGUAACCGGUCUGAGAGGGCGAACGGUCACACUGGAACUGAGACACGGUCCAGACUCCUACGGGAGGCAGCAGUGGGGAAUAUUGCGCAAUGGGGGAAACCCUGACGCAGCAAUACCGCGUG